rnacentral:rRNA from 1 species
GUUUACAGCCAUACCACACUGGGUAUGCCCAAUCUAAGCAGGACUGAGUAUGGUUAGGACUUGAAUGAGGGACCAUGUGAGAAUAUCAGGUGCUGUUUGGG